rnacentral:rRNA from 1 species
GAUGAACGCUGGCGGCGUGCCUAAUACAUGCAAGUCGAGCGAACGGACGAGAAGCUUGCUUCUCUGAUGUUAGCGGCGGACGGGUGAGUAACACGUGGAUAACCUACCUAUAAGACUGGGAUAACUUCGGGAAACCGUAGCUAAUACCGGAUAAUAUUUUGAACCGCAUGGUUCAAAAGUGAAAGACGGUCUUGCUGUCACUUAUAGAUGGAUCCGCGCUGCAUUAGCUAGUUGGUAAGGUAACGGCUUACCAAGGCAACGAUGCAUAGCCGACCUGAGAGGGUGAUCGGCCACACUGGAACUGAGACACGGUCCAGACUCCUACGGGAGGCAGCAGUAGGGAAUCUUCCGCAAUGGGCGAAAGCCUGACGGAGCAACGCCGCGUGAGUGAUGAAGGUCUUCGGAUCGUAAAACUCUGUUAUUAGGGAAGAACAUAUGUGUAAGUAACUGUGCACAUCUUGACGGUACCUAAUCAGAAGCCACGGCUAACUACGUG